UACGUAGGGUGCGAGCGUUGCCCGGAUUUAUUGGGCGUAAAGGGCGCGUAGGCGGCCACGCACGUCCGUUGUGAAAUCGCCCGGCUCAACUGGGCGGGGUCAGCGGAUACGGCGUGGCUCGAGCAAGCUAGGGGGCAAUGGAAUUCCCGGUGUAGUGGUGGAAUGCGUAGAUAUCGGGAGGAACACCAGUGGCGAAGGCGGUUGCCUGGAGCUUUGCUGACGCUGAGGCGCGAAAGCGUGGGGAGCGAUCCGG
rnacentral:rRNA from 1 species